UGGGGGAUAUUGCACAAUGGGCGAAAGCCUGAUGCAGCGACGCCGCGUGGGGGAUGAAGGCUUUCGGGUUGUAAACCUCUUUCGCUAUCGAACAAGGCCCGCUUAGGGUGGGUUGAGGGUAGGUGGAGAAGAAGCGCCGGCUAACUACGUGCCAGCAGCCGCGGUAAUACGUAGGGCGCGAGCGUUGUCCGGAAUUAUUGGGCGUAAAGGGCUUGUAGGCGGCUUGUUGCGCCUGCUGUGAAAACGCGGGGCUUAACUUCGCGCGUGCAGUGGGUACGGGCAGGCUUGAGUGUGGUAGGGGUGACUGGAAUUCCAGGUGUAGCGGUGGAAUGCGCAGAUAUCUGGAGGAGCACCGAUGGCGAAGGCAGGUCACUGGGCCAUUACUGACGCUGAGGAGCGAAAGCAUGGGUAGCGAACAGG
rnacentral:rRNA from 1 species